rnacentral:rRNA from 1 species
UGGGGAAUUUUGGACAAUGGGCGAAAGCCUGAUCCAGCAAUGCCGCGUGUGUGAAGAAGGCCUUCGGGUUGUAAAGCACUUUUGUCCGGGAAAGAAAUCCUUGGCUCUAAUACAGUCGGGGGAUGACGGUACCGGAAGAAUAAGCACCGGCUAACUACGUGCCAGCAGCCGCGGUAAUACGUAGGGUGCAAGCGUUAAUCGGAAUUACUGGGCGUAAAGCGUGCGCAGGCGGUUUGCUAAGACCGAUGUGAAUCCCCGGGCUCAACCUGGGAACUGCAUGGUGACUGGCAGGCUAGAGUAUGGCAGAGGGGGGUAGAAUUCCACGUGUAGCAGUGAAAUGCGUAGAGAUGUGGAGGAAUACCGAUGGCGAAGGCAGCCCCCGGGCCAAUACUGACGCUCAUGCACAAAAGCGUGGGGAGCAAAACAGGAUUCAGAUACCCUGGUAGUCCACGCCCUAAACGAUGUCAACUAGUUGUUGGGGAUUCAUUUUCCUUAGUAACGUAGCUAACGCGUGAAGUUGACCGCCU